CGCCGGAAACGGAAGUGCGGGAGGAACCAUAGAGAGCGGCGCGGCGCCGGGGAGGGCGGUGCGGAGGUUGGUUGAUGGAAUGUGGAGAUGCUGUGGAAAGGAGCACAUUAACCUCCCACAAUGCCGUUUUCUGACUUUGUUGUGGCACUGAAGGACAACCCCUACUUUGGGGCUGGGUUUGGCCUUGUCGGGGUGGGCACAGCUAUGGCACUGGCUCGGAAAGGAGCUCAGUUUGGGCUGGUGGCUUUCAGGCGCCACUAUAUGAUCACUUUGGAGGUGCCCAGCAAGGAUAAGAGCUACCAGUGGCUGCUGAACUGGAUCUCGCACCAUGCCAAGCGCACACAGCACCUGAGUGUUGAGACCUCGUACCUGCAGCACGAGAGUGGGCGCGUCAGCACCAAGUUUGACUUUGUCCCCAGCCCUGGAAACCAUUUCAUCUGGUAUCAGAGGAAGUGGAUUCGCAUUGAGCGAAACCGGGAGAGGCAGAUGAUUGACCUGAACACAGGAACUGCCUGGGAGUCUGUCACCUUCACGGCACUGGGCACCAACCGGGAGAUCUUCUUCAACAUCCUCGAGGAAGCCCGGGAGUUGGCUCUGCAACAGCAGGAGGGGAGGACAAUCAUGUACACAGCCAUCGGAACGGAGUGGCGGCAGUUUGGAUUCCCACGCCGCCGCCGGCCUCUGAGCUCCGUGGUGCUGGAGAAAGGUGUGUCAGAGAGGCUGGUUGAGGACGUGAAGGAGUUCAUCGACAACCCGAAGUGGUACAUCGAGAGAGGGAUCCCAUACAGAAGAGGCUACCUGCUAUAUGGUCCUCCUGGCUGUGGAAAAAGCAGCUUCAUUACAGCCCUGGCCGGGGAGCUGCAACACAGUAUCUGCCUGCUGAGCCUCAGUGACCGCAGCCUCUCUGAUGACCGACUCAAUUACCUCCUGAGUGUGGCACCACAGCAGAGCAUCAUCCUUCUGGAGGAUGUGGAUGCUGCCUUCAUCAGUCGGGACCUUGCUGCUGAGAACCCUGCUAUGUACCAAGGCAUGGGGCGCCUGACCUUCAGCGGCCUCCUCAACGCCCUGGAUGGCGUGGCCUCCACAGAGGCCAGGAUUGUCUUCAUGACCACCAACUAUGUGGACAGGCUGGACCCAGCCCUGGUGCGGCCUGGACGUGUGGACCUGAAGCAGUACGUGGGCCACUGCUCCCGAGGGCAGCUGGUCCGCAUGUUCCAGCGCUUCUAUCCUGAGCAGCCCCCAGCUGCAGCUGAGCGGUUUGCUGAGCAGGCGCUGGCAGUCUCCAAACAGAUCAGCGCUGCCCAGGUGCAGGGACACUUCAUGCUCUACAAGACAGAUCCUGGGGGAGCCAUUGAAAACGUACACUCCAUCCUGCCAUGACCUAAGGUGAGCUCUGCCUUGCCAUGCUGUGAGGCCUGGAGAUAACUGGGACAAGGACUUGGACUAUCCUGGGGAUGCUGCGGAGCUGCCCAGCUAUGCGGGCCAGGUCUCUACCUCACCGAGGCCUUGUCUUUUUGUUAAAAUGUAUGGAGUCAGAGCUUCCAGCUCUGCAGCAGAGUGAGGGGAUCGGCUCUUGCUGCUCCCUAGGUUUGGGUGCUACUAUACAGACCCUGCUCACUGCCCUUGUGCUGGGAUUCAGAAGCUGCCAAGGCUUCCAGAUGUGAAAGUGUAAUUUAUCAACCCCUUCCUUAUGGGCUGAUACUCCAAAACAGAAUUUUGCAGAGGCAGGACAUUGGGGUGAUGCACUGCUAAGGAGAGCUGAUGGUCUUUGAAAAGAGAGGAGUCUUCAUUGAUCUGUGAACAACCUUGUAAGGUACACGUCACUGCAGACCCACUGUUCCCUGCAUUGCCUGUCUGAGGACCUCCUGCUUUGGAGCAAGAUGCAGAGCAAUUAAAAAUCAAGAACCACAUAAGCUGGAGUCACUCACUUGAAACCGAUAACAUUUCAGUGGGUACAGGGACAUAUUUAAGGAAAGCUACAAUUAUUCUCUUAGAGCAGACAGAACACAGAGGUUCCUUUCAGGCACUCUGCCUGAUGGCAGAAUUGUCUCUCUCCCCCACCACAUCUGCUUGCUUUGGAGAGCAAGCCAACAACACUACAUAUCCUCACUGCCUCCCCAUGCAACAGCUACAUAUCUUUUGCUUCCCUCUGCCCUUAUCACAUCUGAAGGUGGGCCCCUUUUCUAUGGCAGAAGGGCUCCAAUGGUCCCCUCAGAAUAGAGCACAAGAUGGAAUUUGUACAUUUGUGUGUUUUCCUAGAGUAAAUGGCAGAGCACGUUAAUCAGCUGCAGCUGGCACUGUUCAUGCGUUAAAAUGUCCCAGUUAAAGCCACCCAGAGAGUGGGCACAGCCAGACAG